CAACGACUCUCGGCAACGGAUAUCUCGGCUCUCGCAUCGAUGAAGAACGUAGCGAAAUGCGAUACUUGGUGUGAAUUGCAGAAUCCCGUGAACCAUCGAGUCUUUGAACGCAAGUUGCGCUUGAAGCCAUUAGGNUAAAGGCACGUCUGCCUGGGCGUCACGC
rnacentral:rRNA from 1 species